rnacentral:lncRNA from 1 species
GUAGACAGAUAGUAAAAAUAAUUCUCCAUUUUGAGUGCACAUAAGUUAAUUCAGUCAAGAGAUGCUGCUGAGCUGAUUAGCAGCUAUCACAUUAUCAACAGGAUAGACAAAUGAGAUUCACCAGGAACACAAUCAGCUUAUGUCAGUGCUGUGUGCAGUAGAAACCCAUCAAUAAAACUGAAGCCUUGGAUUUGGCAUUCUAAGUUCUGUGUACAUCUGUAUUCAAUCUUAUAAAACCAAGAGAUGAACCAAGCAAACACCUUUAGCUAGCACCAGAUGGAGCUGCUGUCUAAGUCACAAAGCCUUAACUAUGAGGGUUUCAUUUUUCAACACUAAUUAUGUUUGGAGACAAAGAUGUGCGCUUAAAGACACUGUCAAAACUAUUUUAACUUAUAACAGGCUCUUAGAAAGAGAAGCUACACUAGUUGUAGCUCUAUCCAAAGAGCAGUCCUUGGGCUUUACUGCCUUUGUGAAAUGACUUCAAUGGCAAUCAAUAACUAGCAGCUUUGUCUGCUCAACACUGACACCUCCAAAAUGGGAAACUCUAGCCACCAAAGUCAUGCUUGAGAAAUAAAAAAUGUGUCUCCUGAGGCACUUAAGCAAGGAUAUAUGACAGUCUACCCUGGUGUCUUCUAUUUACUUGCCAAAACAGGUCAGCUAUGGAGUAUCAAAUGGAACGUUGGAUAAGGAAAAACUCAUUGGCCUCCACAUCCCUUAUAAUUUCAAAGCAAAUCCUGCAGAUGAAAUGCUCAAUGAGAAAGUGUAAUGGCUGAAGUUGCCCCUAGGAGCUAGCCAGGAUUCCAUGAUCUAAAAUCUGAUUUAAUAUUUGACAGUUUUCAAUGCCAAAACCCUCCAGGCUAUAGAUGAAGCUGUUCAUGGGUAGCUUAUUUCACUUGUAGUCAUGACAGCUUUUAAAGAAUCUAUUACUGUUUUUUACUCUCUCUACUGCUAUACAGUCAAUGACAUAAUUAGUUUGCUUAUAGUCCAACUGUUUCAAGAUUUGAUACAAGACAGACAAAUCCACACAGGAUCUCAAAGUUGGAAUAGACAGGCCCACAGAAAGAGUCAGAGCUCCUCAAGCUGGAUGGAAUUUCCAAGUCAGUGAAGAAGGGGAGGGCGUCCUGGUGGUAUAUUAAAUACCAUAAGCAGAGUAUUUCCUAAAGGCAUCCAAGGAGAAUCUGUUAAUAAAUGAGGAUGGAGAAUGGACUGCUCAGCUCCUUCCCCAAUCCUGUGACUCCCAGAGCCCAUUAUUGCUCUUCAUAAAACCUGUCAUACUGUCAAAGGGGCAGAAUCAAGAAUUCUCACUGUUUUACAUGGGCUUUUAAGGAUACUUUUCACUGAGAAACUAUUGCUUAUAUGUCAUCCAACACAUUACUGUAGUCCAGCUCCAGGCUACUAAAGUAAAAUUUACAAGCCAAGGUUCUCAUUAGGCUUUUGUAAUGGAAGGAGUGGGUCACUUAAAUAAAAAAGGAAAGGAAAAUGUGAUAAGUAUCCCCACGUCACUGUUUCCAACCUUUCCUCCUUCCACAGUGAAAAAUGCUGACAGAUACCUCAACCAGCUGCCAAACCCUUCAGUGUAUGACUACAAGGGUGGGGAGAGGAAGUGAAAGCAAAGCUGCAGGAAAAGGCUUUGUAGGAGAUAAAACACAGCUUGAAUUUGGCACAUAAAUGGAAAUUCCAUGAAUAAAAGGAACCUUCUUAAUUUGAGAUUUGAACAAAGGAGCGAAAAAAAUCACAGUUCUUUGCUAAUGAUAAGAAUAGGCAAGAUCUUAAGACUUAAGGUUCUUCUGUCUAAAGAAGAAGCCAAGGUAAGACCUACUUAAUUUAGAAAACUUAACUAAAAAGCUGUGCUGAAAGGAGGAAGACCACCCACUUCCAGUUGUUCUAACCACCAGUUUUUUUCUAACAAUUUACUGUUACUGUCACAUGGUGGUCAUCCCAGGAUAAGAAUUAUGCAACAGCAGAUGCUGUAAAGAGGCACUGCUAAGGCCCCGACACAUUCUUCAGUUCAAAUUCUUUGAUGAACCAGUUAAAUAAUAAUAACAAUUAUUAUUAUUAUAAAUUAGGUAACAGCUAGUUAUAAGAUUAUAAUUUCCAAAAUGUUCACUGAACCCACUUCAGACCCCUAUGUAAGAAGGUAGGCAUCAGAGAGCAAGUGAAAAUGUUAUCUAAUAACAGUCAAGGACUCCAUAGUAUUUUUCAGUUUUACUCUACUCACAAAUGAUUCUCUCUGCUUGGAAUGUGUAUUCUCUAAUGCCAUUCCAUUUGGCAAAAGCCUGUUUACCCUUCAAGACCCACUUCAAAAUUUACCUGUGAUGAAGCUUUACCUAACUCCCUAAAUACCUUUACUGUAAGACCAUGUUAUAUUAUACAGGUCCCCAGAAGGCAGGGGUGUGUCUUUUUCAUCUCUUGAUCUCUUGCAUUGCUUGGAAUAUAGCAGAUACUAAAUAAGUGCUUCCUGAAUAAAAGCAAUUUUAGCCAGCUAAUGCUGGGCACCAUUUAAAGCUCUUUGCCCAUGAAAACUCUUAAUUCUCAUAAAACUCUAUGAUGUGUAUAGCACCACCUCACUGAUAAAGAAACUGAGACUUGUCCAAGGUCGCAUGGCUAACAUGGCAGAGCCAGAAUGGAUGAGUGCAUGUACAUGUAAAUGGUAGAGCUCAGCUACCUAUGGUAUCUGGAGGCUGCUUUAAAUGUAAGCAUGGUGGUGCCUGAAAAACAGUUCACUCAGCAACAGCAGCACUGCUUACCAUGGUGCAAUUCCAUCUUGAGCAAAGCAGUGUUAGAAGCAGGCACACCCCCACCAUCCCCAGCUCACUCCUGAGAUUGCAGGGUGCACGUACUCACUGCAGAGCAAGUUAGGAGUAAAACUAAGAGCCAAAUAGCUACCUGGGCUGCCCCAAACGUGGUGCUUUUUUUUUUUUUUUCUUUUUGUACUUNNNNNNNNNNNNNNNNNNNNNNNNNNNNNNNNNNNNNNNNNNNNNNNNNNNNNNNNNNNNNNNNNNNNNNNNNNNNNNNNNNNNNNNNNNNNNNNNNNNAAACGUGGUGCUUUUUUUUUUUUUUCUUUUUGUACUUCAGAGUAUUGGAGUGAAUAUUCUGAGGCAAAUUAAGUAUGCUCUUUCAUCUAGCCCAGCCUGAGUCAGGAACCAUCCUUAUUUGGAAGGGUUGAUGAAGUGGCUGAUUGAGAGCAAUUGGUGAGACGCUGUUAGAAGCACCUUACUGUAUUCUUCUCCACUGCUGUCAACUGUCAAAUGAAGAAAGCAAGACUGCAGACUAAUUGAGAUGUGAAAAGAUAGGUGAUCUCUGGUUUGAAAGAAGGGAAUAACAAAGAGGGAGAAUGAGGAAGUGAAAGAGUCAAAGGUAAGAGAAAGAAGAAAAGGAGGGGAGAAAGAGGUUGGGAAGGAAAGAGACCCAAGAAAGAGUCGAUUAUUUUGAGAGAAAUCCCACUUGAAUGCUUACAACAACAUAAUCAGGGGAAGCGAAAAUGUCCUUUGUUAUCAUGCUUCACCAUUUCUGGAGGCUUUAUUCUUUGUUGUCUUGCAUGACUUGAAAAUUUGGUAGGAGGCAUUAUUUUUCCAGUCAAACUAAAAUUUACCUUCCCAGUUACAGAACAGAGUAACAGUACAUUCCAUAAGACAUUUAUAACUUGAAAUUCUAAAGAGGAAAAAGUACUUCUAAAUUAAUGAAAGUCUGAGUUAUACUUUAAAGAAAUAUAAAUUUAUUGCUUUCAAAGAGUUAUCACAAUAAAUUAGCUUAACAGCCUUUCCUGUUAGAAGUAUUUGGAGGAUUAUUCUAAUAAGUAUAUAUGAAAUCAGUCAAUCCUAAGGAAAAUCAACCCUGAAUACUCAUUGGAAGGACUGAUGCUGAAGCU